rnacentral:tRNA from 1 species
GCCCUGGUGGCACAGUGGUUAAUGCCUGUACUGCAGCCACUCACUCAUAGACCACAAGGUUGCGAGUUCAAUCCUAGCCAGGGAUC